UACGUAGGGUGCAAGCGUUAAUCGGAAUUACUGGGCGUAAAGCGUGCGCAGGCGGUUUUGUAAGUCUGUCGUGAAAUCCCCGGGCUCAACCUGGGAAUUGCGAUGGAGACUGCAAGGCUAGAAUCUGGCAGAGGGGGUAGAAUUCCACGUGUGAGCAGUUGAAAUGCGUAGAGAGUGUGGAGGAACACCGAUGGCGAAGGCAGCCCCCUGGGUCAAGAUUGACGCUCAUGCACGAAAGCGUGGGAGCAACAGGAUA
rnacentral:rRNA from 1 species